rnacentral:rRNA from 1 species
CUAACAUAUACAAGUUUAAUCAAUUUUCCAUUUCUAAUAUUUCUUACACUUCCAAAACUCUCAUGCAGGCAAGCAUUUUGAUCACAUUCUCCAGAGAUGGAUGCUAAGGAAAGAAGAAGGAAACAAGACAGAGAGCGCUAUGAACAGAUGGCCAAUGAAAAAAGAGAGGAAAAACUCAAAAAAGGCCGUGAAGCCUAUCAACAAAAGAAAGAAAAAAUAUGCGCACAACAAAGGCAGAUAUAUGCAAAAAUGCAGCCGGAACAAAAGAAAGCUAGAAAAGAACAUAUCAAUGAAUUGAAACGCAACACAGCAAGCAAAGACUCCAUUGCACGGGAGAACCCUGCCUAUAUUGCAACUGAAAAAGAAGUUGGUACUUCUACCUUUCCUGAUUACAGAAAGCAUGUCACACCAGGAGAAAGGCAAACAUUGCUACACCGUCGUAACAAAGAAUUCACGACAAGACAGAGGCAUGUAUCAUCGAAACAAGAUGUAUCUAUGACGGAAACCGGCGACGAUGACACAGAACCUCUACAGCAACCAGAAGAAAUGAUUUACGGUAAUACUCUAAAUUUACACAAUACUCGCAUUCAAAAUAAAUAUACGAAUGUUUGUAGAACUAACCAUCUUUUAUGGACAGAUAUCCCUUCAAUGUUUCCAAGCAUCAAAGAAGCGGAUACACCAACACAGACAUUCUACAAUGACGAUCAAAAUAAGGUGGCAUUGUGGCCAGACAUCCCGUCUUCAAUGUUUCCAGCAAUCAAAGAAGUAGAUGCACGAAUACAAACAUUAUACAAUGAUGUUCAUGGUAAGGUUAUAAAAUUUCUUAUAUAUUUUUAUGCAAUACAAAAAUUACAUAUAUAUAUAUAA